GCGAGCGGCCAUUUGACUCCAGUGCUCCACCUGCUCCUACUCCCCAUUAGUUCAUUUGGCGGGAGAUAGAUACUAAAUUUCGUCUCCAUCUUUAUUUUCAUUUUUUUUUUCUCUUCUGUGGAAGCUUAGAAUUUCUUCCUUUCAGCUGGAAAAUUUCUGCUAAUAGAGAUUUUAGGGUAUGGAGGAAGCGGCUGUCGUUUCUGAAGCAUCAACCCGCGCUUCGAAAAGGGUUAGGGAAUUUGGGAAAAAGCCUGACCGGACCGGUGCUGCGAGUGAAGAGAGCCCGGAUGAGGCGGAACAGGGGUCCCCUGAAGGUUCCGUGGAUGAAUUCGAAGAGGCCGGUCCCAGAGCCAAGAAGAAGCGUAUCUCGGAGGAGGCUAAGGCGUCGCGGAAAGCUGAUCGUAACCCGAUUGGCCUUUCUUUAGAAGCGGUCAAAGGUAAUGGGAAGCUCAUUCCCCAAGCAGUUAAGCAUUGGGUUGAGCGGUAUGAAAGGGAUCCUAAACUUGCAAUGGUUGAACUCUUGAUGAUGCUUUUUGAGGCCUGUGGUGCUAAAUAUAAACUCAAAGAAGAUUUUCUGGAUGAGACUGACGUGGAUGAUGUUGUGGUUGCACUUGUUAACAUUGCUAGGAGAGGCGAAGUAGAAGAUUACUACAAUUCCAAAUUGAAAGAGUUCAAGAACUUCAAAGAAAACUUUAUUUCUCUCUGGGACAAUUUGGUCAUUGAGUGUCAAAAUGGUCCAUUGUUUGAUCAGGUUUUGUUUGACAAGUUGAUGGACUAUGUUAUUGCACUGUCAUGCACUCCUCCAAGAGUUUAUCGUCAGGUUGCUUCAUUGGUUGGUCUCCAGCUUGUCACAUCCUUCAUAAAUAUUGCUAAAACACUUGGUGCACAGCGUGAGACUACUCAGAGACAAUUAAAUACUGAAAAAAAGAAGCGGAACGAGGGUCCUCGUGUAGAGUCACUGAAUAAAAGGUUAUCGAUGACUCAUGAGAAGAUCACUGUGAUAGAGGAAAUGAUGCGCAAAACAUUUACAGGGUUAUUUGUACAUCGGUAUCGUGAUGUUGAUCCUAAUAUCCGAAUGGCAUGCAUAGAGUCUCUUGGUGUAUGGAUCGUGUCAUACCCAUCAUUGUUCUUGCAGGACUUGUACUUGAAGUACCUUGGAUGGACAUUAAAUGACAAAAGUGCUGGUGUAAGGAAAACUUCCAUCCUUGCAUUGCAAAAUCUUUAUGAGGUCGAUGAUAAUGUGCCAUCUCUUGGCCUUUUCACAGAAAGAUUCUCAAACCGCAUGAUUGAGCUUGCUGAUGACAUUGAUGUUUCUGUGGCUGUGGCUGCCAUAGGGCUUGUAAAACAACUGUUAAGACAUCAACUACUUUCUGAUGAUGACUUAGGUCCUUUAUAUGAUCUGCUUAUUGAUGAACCAGCGGAGAUAAGACAUGCCAUAGGAGCACUGGUAUAUGAUCAUCUGAUUGCUCAAAAGUUUAGCAGCUCUCAAUCAGGGUCAAAAAGUGAUGAGAACGAUUCUUCUGAGGUUCACCUGGGUAGAAUGUUGCAAAUAUUGAGGGAGUUUUCAACAGAUCCAAUUCUAUGCACAUAUGUCAUAGAUGAUGUUUGGGACUACAUGAAAGCCAUGAAGGAUUGGAAGUGCAUUGUCCCUAUGCUUCUGGAUGAGAAUCCUUUAAUUGAACUUACUGAUGUGGAUGCAACAAAUCUGGUUCGAUUGCUUUAUGCAUCUGCUAGAAAAGCUGUUGGUGAGAGGAUUGUACCUGCUACCGACAAUCGAAAACAAUAUUAUAAUAAAGCUCAAAAGGAAAUAUUUGAAAAUAACAGAAGGGAUAUAACUGUUGCCAUGAUGAAAAAUUUUCCCCAGCUCUUACGCAAAUUCAUGGCUGACAAAGCAAAAGUGCCGUCACUUGUUGAAAUUAUUCUGUAUUUCAAACUUGAGCUUUAUUCAUUGAAGAGACAAGAACAGAAUUUUAAAACUGUUCUCCAGCUCAUCAAAGACGCAUUCUUUAAACAUGGAGAAAAGGAUGCAUUGAGAUCUUGUGUAAAGGCUAUCAUCUUUUGUUCAACUGAGAGUCAAGGGGAGCUGCAAGAUUUUGCCCAGAACAAAUUGAAGGAGCUUGAGGAUGAGCUCAUGACAAAACUUAAAUCUGCAAUAAAAGAAGUAGCGGAGGGUGAUGAUGAAUAUUCCCUUCUUGUUAAUUUGAAAAGGUUGUAUGAGCUUCAACUGGCAAAAUCUGUACCUAUUGAAAGCUUAUUUGAGGAUAUGACCAGCAUUCUAGGAAAGUCAACAAAUUUGGAUCAUGAGGUUGUAGGUUUUCUGCUUCUCAAUAUGUAUUUGCAUGUGGCCUGGUGCCUUCAGUGUAUUAUAAAUGGUGAAAAUAUCUCUGAAGCAUCUCUAACUUCUCUACUAUCCAAACGGACCACCUUGUUUGAGCAACUUGAGUACUUUCUGCAUAAUCCUCCUAAAUCCCAGGAAGAUGGAAAGAAAGUAAAUCUGCUUGCAUGUAGAGUGUGCACUAUACUUGCAGAAAUGUGGUGCUUAUUCAGAAAGACAAAUUUUUCUUCAACAAAGCUGGAAGGACUAGGUUUUUGCCCUGGUGCAUCUAUUCUUCAAAAGUUCUGGGAACUUUGUGAACAACAGCUUAGUGUUCCUGAUGAGACAGAAGACGAGGAUUUGAAUAAGGAAUACAUUGAAGAGACAAAUCGUGAUGCUGUCAUGAUUGCAGCAGCAAAGUUGAUUGCUACCCAUACGGUUCCUAAGGAGUUUCUUGGUCCAGAGAUCAUUUCUCAUUUUGUGAUGCAUGGUCCAAGUGUGGCAGAGAUUGUCAAGCAUCUUAUUACUGUUCUAAAGAAAACUGCUACAGAUGAUGUCCCUGGUCUCCUUCUAGAAGCAUUAAAGAGGGCCUAUCAUCGGCAUGUGGAGGAAGUCUCUAAAAGAGAUGAUGAUUCCUCAUCAAGCAAGUCCUUUCUAGACUGUAAGGAUCUUGCUUCUCGGCUCUCAGGAACAUUUGUGGGUGCUGCUCGAAACAAACAUAGGGCAGACAUCUUACAAAUUGUAAGGGAUGCUGUUGCAUUUUCCUUCAUAGAUGCUCCUAAGCAGUUGCCUUUCUUGGAAGGAGCUGUACUUCAGUUUGUAUCCAAACUUCCAAAUUCCGAUGUCCUAGACAUUCUCAAGGAUGUCCAAAAACGAAUAGAGAAUGUCAACACAGAUGAGGAUCCUAGUGGCUGGCGCCCUUAUCAUAUAUUUGUUAAUACUUUACGUGAGAAGUAUGCCAAGAAUGAUGGUUUCCAAGAUGGGAAAGAAGUUGUGAAACGCCGAGGUCGUCCACGUAAACGGCGUAAUAUACAAGGGAAGAAACUCUUUGAUGGACAAGUCUCAAGUGAAGAAGAGGAUUCUAUUAGUGCAUCUGACCAGGAUGCCCAAGAUGGAGAAGAAGAGCAGGAAGAGGAGGCAGAGGAGGUUCCUUUGAUACAUUCACUUAGGUCAUCAUCCAAAUCGAGGUCAUUGAGAGUUUCACGGCAGGAAAGUAGAGGCCAGAUGAAGACAGCAGAUUCCGGGAAAGCUUCACAAGAUAAGGCUGCUUCUAGAACAUCAGUGCCCCAUGGUUAGUGGUAAUACAGGCAUUCACCAGGAAUGACCGGUAUAGCAAGUGGACAAAAUGAUAAAUCGUCUUUGGCGAGCAACGAGAUCGGAUGGGAAAGGAUGCUUGCUGUUGAAUCUCAUUGAUGGGGAGACUGGUUUUCACCUAAUGGUGUCGUGCCACUUCGCGAGGUCAUUGUGGGAUUGGGCUUUCUCCUUAUUUGGAUGCAGUUGGAAUCCCCCAUCAGACAUGUAGAGCCUUUUCGCCCCCUCCUUCAGGUGGCGGUUAAAAAGGGGAAGGACAAUGUGGAGAGGACUAAGGAUUGCAGUAUGUUGGACACUGUGGGAAGAAAGGAAUUUCAGGAUAUUCUCAGAAACUUAGAGAGAGACAGUAGAUUUGAGGGCUAUCAUAUAGUUUAGGGCGGUAUAGUGGUUGAAAUCUUCGGAAAUAUUCACAGAUUACACUGUGGAUGACAUGUUGAGAAAGUGGGGUGAAAUUGCAAGUUGCACGCAGACCAAGUCAGUAAUGAGCGUGGCUUGGACCCCCUCACCUAGUGGAUUCUUGAAAUUAAAUUUUGAUGGAUGUAGUAGGGGAAACCCGGGACAAUCAGGGAUUGGGGGUGUUUUUAGAGAUAAAAAUGGGGUCAUCUCUGCUAUGUUCUCAGGGCCAAUUGAAGUGGGCGACUCCCUUAGAGCUGAGAUAUGUGUAGUUAUGGAAGGAGCCCGAAAAGCGAAGGAAUUGAACAUCAAGAAAUUUAUAAUUAAAGGGGAUUCAGAGGUGGUGAUAGGGUGACUGAUCAAAGAACAAAAUGAUCUUUUGAAGUAUAACAAUGAGAAGCGGAAAUUCAAAUGGCUGGUGCGGGAAAUGGAAGUUAAGACAUGUUGGAUUAAGAGAUCAACUAAUUCCCUAGUUGAUGGUUUAGCAAAACAAGGGGCAAAAAGGGAUUCCUUUUUUUGGGAGUUGUAAUGUUA